rnacentral:lncRNA from 1 species
UAAUAGACUUUCAAAUCUGCAUCCAUUAAUGGAGUUGUGAAUGCCACUGCAAAUGUUUUGUUGUUAGGCUUCAGGGUGCCCCACAAUGCCGUUGCUAUGCAUCAAAGAUCCUUCGUGGGAGGCCGGAUUCAAGUGCCCUUUGUUCUCAGCAACGGAGGUGCAUUGAUCGUUAAGGCAUCCUCUGAUAUCGAUGGAACAGAGUCCACCACCCCGGAGUCUCCCACCCCUGCUUCAGAUGGGAAAGAGAAGAGCACGCCUGUUGAGAACCUCCCUUUGCAGUCCAAGGUUCAGGAACUGGAGCAGCAGAGGCUCAAGAUGAAGCUGGCCAAGAAAAUCAGGCUGAGGAGGAAGCGCCUCGUGAGGAAGCGCCACCUGAGGAAGAAGGGACGAUGGCCACCUUCGAAGAUGAAGAAGAACAAGAAUGUUUGAACAUUGUCUCUAGGAAUUUUGCAGAUUUACUGCUCACUCAUUUCCCUUUUUUUUUGUUGCAGCUUCAUGAAAAGUCACAUUAGAAUCCAUUCUUGUUCAAUGUAUAUGUGACCUAUUACAGUUAAUCAGUUAUCAUCUUUCAUAUUACCAGAAGUUUGGUAUUGGAUGUAAUAUGAUAUUCUGAAUCAAGUUUUUCCCCUUUUCUCUGUUUGCAGUUGGGCAAAUCAUAUGGAUUAAAUAGAAUUAGUCUUAUGAUAAUCUGUUUGGUUAUGGACACAAUUUGGUGCUCAAAAUCAAUAUAGUGCCACAUAGAAUUAGUCUUGCCUUGUGACAAAAUUAUUCNUUGUAAGUAUGAAUACCAUUUAAGUUGCGCGGCUAUUAGGAUGCAGUCGAGUAUUGCCUCCACGUUUUUGGAAGAAUUGUUGAUAUUCUUUUUUCCCCAUUUUUAUCUGCGAGAAAUUAGCCCAUUCAUUACCAUAUAAAUGCAUUUGUUCUUAGCUUGUAAUUGUUCUAUUACAGAUUUCUUUGUUGACUGACUAUAGGGAAGAAAUAUUGAAUUUUGUUUUUGGGUGUGCGCGGCAUUUGAUCUGGGUGUCGAGGAAAGAUCAAAUACGUUAGCUCGAUUCUUUCUUUUCUAUUUUAGAUUUUUUUUGACUACAUAUUAAGAUUCUGCUGUGAAAAUCUUGGUCUUAGACUUGCUUUGAGCUGAAUUUUAGUUUUUACUUUUAGAUUGUGUUACUGUAUCUGUUGGGUAAUUGUAUGAAUUUUGCAUUACCCCUUUGCUUAUAGGUUUGUCUUUGAGGUAUUUUCGCAAGCAUGUAGUCUGCAUUUUUGAUUGUCGAUAUCCGCUCCUUUGCAGUUCAUGCUUAUCUUAUAAAGACCUCAAAAUCAUUGAAAAUUUGGCUUGCCAAUCUAUCUUAAUUUAUUACGGGGUUAAUUAUAGUUUUUUUGUCCCUAACUUUCGUCAUUUUUCAAAAAAUGUUCACAGCUCACAUUUUCACUUCAAAAACCUCCAACUUAAAAAAAAAUCGAUUUUUACCCUGCACUUUAGAAUGCGGCAAAGGAAUAAUUAAUCGUCGCCCAAUUAUGUAAUACGAGAUAUAAAUUGAACUUUUUUCAAAGUUGGGGAAUUUUUGAGGUGAAAACGUGAGUUAGUGACUUUUGUUGGAAAAAGUUGAAAGUUAGGGAUACAAAGAAUGAUUAACCCUUUAUUACGCUAUGGUUGUGACAGAUUGUUUUCUACAUGUGGAAUUGAAAGCCAUAUUGUCUUAAUAUGAUGAAGCUCAUUCAUAACAUCUGUUAAUAGACUUUCAAAUCUGCAUCCAUUAAUGGAGUUGUGAAUGCCACUGCUAAAUGUUUUGUUGUUAGGCGUUCAGGGUGCCCCACAAUGCCGUUGCUAUGCAUCAAAGAUCCUUCGUGGGAGCCGGAUUCAAGUGCCCUUGUCUCAGCAACGGAGGUGCAUUGAUCGUUAAGGCAUCCUCUGAUAUCGAUGGAACAGAGUCCACACCCCGGAGUCUCCACCCCUGCUUCAGAUGGGAAAGAGAAGAGCACGCCUGUUGAGAACCUCCCUUUGCAAUCCAAGGUUCAGGAACUGGAGCAGCAGAGGCUCAAGAUGAAGCUGGCCAAGAAAAUCAGGCUGAGGAGGAAGCGCCUCGUGAGGAAGCGCCACCUGAGGAAGAAGGGACGAUGGCCACCUUCGAAGAUGAAGAAGAACAAGAAUGUUUGAACAUUGUCUCUAGGAAUUUUGCAGAUUUACUGCUCACUCAUUUCCCUUAUUUUUUUUUAUUUUCUUUUGUUGCAGCUUCAUGAAAAGAUUUAAAUUCUUUUGAAUCUCAACGUAUGCGAAAUUACAAAAUGAAUACAUAUACUAUCGUUGUUGUUAACAAUUGUAUCAACCUAUACGA